GGGCACGUAGCGUAGGGGUUAUCGCGCUCGCUUUGCAUAGUAGCCAAGAGGUUUGGACGCUUUGCUGCGAGAGGUCUCCGGUUCAAUUCCGGACGUGUCCA
rnacentral:tRNA from 1 species